AGAAAGUUAGUCUAAUCAAGACAGCUGGUUUCGGCCCAGCAGAUUAUAGAUAACCCUGUAACUUUCUU
rnacentral:tRNA from 1 species